rnacentral:rRNA from 1 species
UACGUAGGUGGCGAGCGUUGUCCGGAUUUACUGGGCGUAAAGGGCGUGCAGGCGGUUUGUUAAGUGCAGGGUGAAAGCUCCCGGCUCAACUGGGAGAGGUCCUUGCAUACUGGCGAACUCGAGGGAGGCAGAGGAAAGUGGAAUUCCCGGUGUAGUGGUGAUAUGCGUAGAUAUCGGGAGGAACACCUGUGGCGAAGGCGGCUUUCUGGGCCUUACCUGACGCUGAGACGCGAAAGCUAGGGGAGCAAACAGG